UACGGGAGUGGCAAGCGUUAUCCGGAAUUAUUGGGCGUAAAGCGUCCGCAGGCGGUCUGUCAAGUCUGCUGUUAAAGCGUGGAGCUUAACUCCAUUAAGGCAGUGGAAACUGACAGACUAGAGUGUGGUAGGGGCAGAGGGAAUUCCCGGUGUAGCGGUGAAAUGCGUAGAUAUCGGGAAGAACACCAGUGGCGAAGGCGCUCUGCUGGGCCAUAACUGACGCUCAUGGACGAAAGCCAGGGGAGCGAAAGGGAUUAGAUACCCCUGUAGUCCUGGCCGUAAACGAUGAACACUAGGUGUCGGGGGAAUCGACCCCCUCGGUGUCGUAGCCAACGCGUUAAGUGUUCCGCCUGGGGAGUACGCACGCAAGUGUGAAACUCAAAGGAAUUGACGGGGGCCCGCACAAGCGGUGGAGUAUGUGGUUUAAUUCGAUGCAACGCGAAGAACCUUACCAGGGUUUGACAUCCUGCGAAUCUCUUGGAAACGAGAGAGUGCCUUCGGGAACGCAGUGACAGGUGGUGCAUGGCCGUCGUCAGCUCGUGUCGUGAGAUGUUGGGUUAAGUCCCGCAACGAGCGCAACCCACGUCGUUAGUUGCCAGCAUUUAGUUGGGCACUCUAGCGAGACCGCCGGUGAUAAACCGGAGGAAGGUGUGGAUGACGUCAAGUCAUCAUGCCCCUUACAUCCUGGGCUACACACGUACUACAAUGCUACGGACAAAGGGCAGCAAACUCGCGAGAGCUAGCAAAUCCCAUAAACCGUGGCUCAGUUCAGAUCGUAGGCUGCAACUCGCCUACGUGAAGGAGGAAUCGCUAGUAAUCGCAGGUCAGCAUACUGCGGUGAAUACGUUCCCGGGCCU
rnacentral:rRNA from 1 species